AAAUGAGCUCGAUCACAAACAGGGUGGUGGUGUCCGUGAAGUACUGCAGCUGGCCGGCGGUGUACCACGAGGGGGUGUUGAGGAUGCCGAUCUUGGUGAGCAGCUCCGGGAUGAAGAUGCCGGCAGCGCCCAGCAUCGCCCACCGGCAGUGGACGAUCUCCGCUUGCUGGUUCCAUCUCAGGCUCUCAGGAUCAGAGCCUGCACGUGUAAAGAAGACCCACUCGUUCAUCUUUUGUUGCCGUAAGCACCAUGACAUGGUGGUCUGUAAGGGUUCGACGAGCUCAGACUUACCGAGACCCAAAGGAUCGAAGCCAAAAUCUCCAGGAAGGCUGCAACUCCAAUAUGUCAGUUUGGGGAAACGAAGAGGAAGAAGGAGGAGAGUGUCUUCACCUGCCAUCAAGCCAUGGUGGAGGGGUGCUGCCUGGGAACCAGAGAGGCCUCUCAGGUGCAGCGGCAGCAGACACCGAGAGCUCCCGGCGUGCAGUUUGUGCCCGUGCCGCCCGCUUCCCCUGCCUCAGUUUCCUUCCUCCAAGAAAUGAUGCCUUGGUUGCAGCAACGGCAGCAGCUCCGUUCUUCCGAGACCUG
rnacentral:lncRNA from 1 species